rnacentral:lncRNA from 1 species
AGAGAGGACUGCUCUGGCAGAUAAUGUCCACCCAGAUGUCCACAGCUGAUUUCCACCCACUUGGACUUCUGCAGAAGCUUUGCAUUUCCCCUCAGCUGCAGACACAGUUUCUGAAGGAUCUGGAAGAAAUUACAGGAGUGACAGUUGUGAGAGGGACGUACUCCAGAUUGGCGGGGCUGGUUUGUGCUUUGUUACCACAUUGCCUCCUCCUAGCAGAAUGGAUGUGCUGGUGGCAUUCCCGGAUUUCUCGAGCUCUCAUGCUAACUCUGAGUCAGCUUUGACCUGGCUGGGUGCCCACCUGCAUAAUUCCAGAUGUGACCAUGGAGAGUGCACAGGGCAAACAACCCUAGGGAAGAAGGUCUUGCUGGCUUGAUGUCUAAAAACAAAAUAAAAAUCAAGUAAAAUUCCUCGAGUCUAAGUCU